rnacentral:rRNA from 1 species
UACGUAGGGCGCAAGCGUUGUCCGGAAUUAUUGGGCGUAAAGAGCUCGUAGGCGGCUUGUCACGUCGGUUGUGAAAGCCCGGGGCUUAACCCCGGGUCUGCAGUCGAUACGGGCUAGCUAGAGUGUGGUAGGGGAGAUCGGAAUUCCUGGUGUAGCGGUGAAAUGCGCAGAUAUCAGGAGGAACACCGGUGGCGAAGGCGGGUCUCUGGGCCGAUACUGACGCUGAGGAGCGAAAGCGUAGGGAGCGAACAGG